AGCACUAUAUUUAAACCUAUGGUGGGCUUUUCCCCAUUCUUGGUUACGCUUUAGUGCAAAAGAAUUCCUGGCUCUUUCUGUUGCACAGCUGAUUUGCCAUUCUGCUGUUGCUUUAUGGAGUUAAGGAACAUAA
rnacentral:snoRNA from 1 species